UCUGCCUCUAAGGGAAGCUAGGUGGCAGAGUGGGUAGAGGAUGGGUCUUGAAGUCAGGAUGUCCUGAAUUCAAAUCUAGCCUCAGACA
ensembl:snoRNA